rnacentral:rRNA from 1 species
GACGAACGCUGGCGGCGUGCUUAACACAUGCAAGUCGAACGGAAAGGCCCUGCUUUUGUGGGGUGCUCGAGUGGCGAACGGGUGAGUAACACGUGAGUAACCUGCCCUUGACUUUGGGAUAACUUCAUGAAACUGGGGCUAAUACCGGAUAGGAGCUCCUGCUUCAUGGUGGGGGUUGGAAAGUUUCGGCGGUUGGGGAUGGACUCGCGGCUUAUCAGCUUGUUGGUGGGGUAGUGGCUUACCAAGGCUUUGACGGGUAGCCGGCCUGAGAGGGUGACCGGCCACAUUGGGACUGAGAGACGGCCCAGACUCCUACGGGAGGCAGCAGUGGGGAAUAUUGCAAAAUGGGCGGAAGACUGAUGAAGCAACGCCGCGUGAGGGAUGACGGCCUUAGGGUUGUAAACCGCUUUCGCCUGUGAAGAAGAGUGAGUGACGGUAAUGGGUAAAGAAGCACCGGCUAACUACGUG